rnacentral:rRNA from 1 species
GACGAACGCUGGCGGCGUGCUUAACACAUGCAAGUCGAACGGUGAAAGCGGAGCUUGCUCCGCUGGAUCAGCGGCGGACGGGUGAGUAACACGUGGGUAACCUGCCCAUAAGACUGGGAUAACUCCGGGAAACCGGGGCUAAUACCGGAUAACAUUUUGAACCGCAUGGUUCGAAAUUGAAAGGCGGCUUCGGCUGUCACUUAUGGAUGGACCCGCGUCGCAUUAGCUAGUUGGUGAGGUAACGGCUCACCAAGGCAACGAUGCGUAGCCGACCUGAGAGGGUGAUCGGCCACACUGGGACUGAGACACGGCCCAGACUCCUACGGGAGGCAGCAGUAGGGAAUCUUCCGCAAUGGACGAAAGUCUGACGGAGCAACGCCGCGUGAGUGAUGAAGGCUUUCGGGUCGUAAAACUCUGUCGUUAGGGAAGAACAAGUGCUAGUUGAAUAAGCUGGCACCUUGACGGUACCUAACCAGAAAGCCACGGCUAACUACGUGCCAGCCGCCGCCGUAA